GGACUAAAAAUGUUAGAUUCAAGGUGACUUUGUCCCACUUCUUCCCCCUCCAGGUAUCUUCAUCGCUCUUCUCUUGCGCUUUGAUAUCAGCCUGAAGAAGAAAACCCACACAUACUUCUACACCAGUUUUGUGGCCUACAUUUUUGGGCUCAGCGUGACCAUCUUCAUCAUGCACGUCUUCAAACAUGCUCAGCCAGCUCUCUUGUACCUGGUUCCCGCUUGCAUUGGCUUCCCUCUUCUGGUGGCCCUGGCCAAA